CUGCUCAAUGAUUUUUUAAAUUGCUGUGGUAUUUUGACUAUACGAAGGUAUUGAAAUAAGGCUUUAAUUGAGUGCUAAGAGAAUGGUUUAACAAAAAUUAACUUUCUUUAAGUUUAUAAUAGAAGUUGAUUUAAAAAUGAAAAAGUUUUUAUUUAUUUUUGGGACAAGAAGACCCUAUGAAUUUUUUUUAUGACUUUGUUUAAAAUUUUUUGAAAAUAAAAUGAAGUAAAUUUAUAAGUUGAUUGGGGUGAUUUUUAAAGAAUAUUUAUCUUUAAAAUUUGUAGGAAUUAGAACCAAAAAUUUUGGUUGUUUGAAUAAAAUACUCUAGGGAUAACAGCGUAAUUAUUUUGGAUAGUUCAUAUAGAUAAAAUAGUUUGCGACCUCGAUGUUAGAUUAAGAUACUAGUAUAAUGAAGCAGUUAUAUUAAGAAGUUUGCUCAACUUUUGAAAUCUUACUUGAUCUGAGUUCAGACCGG
rnacentral:rRNA from 1 species